rnacentral:rRNA from 1 species
UACGUAGGUGGCAAGCGUUGUCCGGAUUUAUUGGGCGUAAAGGGCGCGCAGGCGGUUCGUUAAGUUCGAGGUGAAAUCUCCUGGCUCAACUGGGAGGGGUCUUCGGAUACUGGCGGACUAGAGGAGAGCAGAGGUGAGUGGAAUUCUGGGUGUAGUGGUGAAAUGCGUAGAUAUCCAGAGGAACACCAGUGGCGAAGGCGACUCACUGGGCUCCACCUGACGCUGAGGCGCGAAAGCGUGGGGAGCGAACCGGAUUAGAUA